rnacentral:lncRNA from 1 species
GAAUAGCCUCGCAGUUCACAGGCGCUUGCUCAUCAAGUUGGCCUCACUUUCUUCUGGAGGCUUCUCGCGGUGUUAGCUCUGGCUUCUGGCUGCAUUUGAUUCUGUAACCACUUCCCAGAAUUUGAAAAUGUGUGUGUGUGUGUGUGUUUGAGGGGGAGAUGAGGAUGCGGCUGGGCUAAAACCGUCAGGCAUGUGAUGAAAUUCACUAACCUGUGUGUUCUCACCAGCCUUGGGAGGGUAAGCAGGCAGAAACCACAAUUAAAUGUGUGUAAAAUUUUCUGGGAAGUUCUAGAGAAUGGAUUUUUAUAAUCCAAGCCAUAUUUUAAAUGCUUCAAGUGGUGGGGAUGUGUUCGAUGUCCACAGUAAAUUAUUUAAUAAUCUAAAAAGGAAAUCUAAUUUCCUGCCUUCCCUCUUUCUCCUUUUCUCUCUCUGUCUAGUUUGUUUGUUUUUCAUAGGGCAAAGCUAUUUACAUGCUUUGUAGAAUUAUUUCUGUAAAGAAAAGGUUCUUUUGUCUAGCAGGCAAAACCGGAAAUAAAAUGAAGACCCCGUAGAUCAUGGGUGUAUUAAAACUUUACACGUUCAGUUUAGGUUUUUGACACUUGGUUCGUUUUACAAAGUUCACAAAGUGUGUUUGUAAAUCUAGUCCGCAUGUAUAACGGACCGAAAAACGUCAAUAGAAGGACAGAUUUUAGAACCGUUUGAAAGCCGUCCUCUCUAGGAAGUGCUUUUCCAGGCUCUCACACCCGAUGACACUGUUUUAACCGGCAGAGACUCCACAAGCUGAGGCUGCGUGUCCCUUCCCCAGGGGGUGGGGUGAACAUCAACCCAGAAAGGCACACACGGGGACAGUGGGACCCCCCAGGAGGGAGAAAUCAGAGAUAGGGACAUUGGGGGCGGGGGUUACAGAGUAAGCAGGAGCUGUUGACUUAAUCAUUUGUGUAUUCCCGACCUGAUUCCACAUAAAGCUUUAAAAUGAUUGACAGAUAUUCUGCAUGAAGGUAAAAUAAAGUCAGGGAGGAAAUAAGGUACAAGGAAAAGCAGGAGAAGAAACUAAAACAAAGCCAUGGGCAGGUUCGGGCCUAAAGCUGCUGCAGGUGAGUAACACGUUUGGCUCCAGACUCCUUGGUCCUAAGAACAGAACGGGGACACGAUCAGGUUGGCAGCUCUUAAUCAUCGUGUCCACGGAAUGAAAGCACAUCAGAUGCCCAGGAGACGCGCCACGUUCCUGGGGCCGAGGGCUGAGACGCAUUUCCCCACGACCCCUCCGCAAGGGUCUCUGAGUGGGCAGUGACAUGCUGUUCCAGUGUGGAUGCUUCUGAGGGGAGCAUGCCGGGCAGGAAACCGCGUUCUUGGCAGAGGGACCAGCGUGAACCCAGCUCCGUGUCUUUAUCAGGGUUCUUGGCAGGGAAGGGGUCUGCAGGCCAGUUCCCAUCAUGGUUCUUGGAGGGGGUGACCCAGUAUGGCAUCCGGGUACCUGUGGAUGCAGUCUGAGGGUGAAUGGCAUUGACGGGGGGACACAGGCAGACAAUGCUGGGGUGCGGAGACCUGCUUAGAGGUGGGACAAGGCCCUGGUCGGGGCUCCUCUGGCCCUGAAGUCAGAGGGUGGGAGACUCAGGAGGUGGAGCCUCAGUGGUGCAGGAAGCCCGAUUGGCUGGGCCGCCCCGGGCCUUGGCCCCCAGAGGCUGGCUGUCUUUAUAAAGACAUUGCAAGACUUUUUCUCGUAUGAAAUUUAAAAAAAAAAGCACAUACGCUGCAGGCUGUCAGGAAGCAAUGUGAGAAACCUGAGCUGCCCCACUGACAGAGCCUCAUAUUUUGGGGUUUUUGUCUGUUCUAUUUUUGAGGCUGGCAAACCGGUUUCCUGUUUGUUGCAAAAUGGGUGGUUGUCGCUGUCUGUGCCUGGCCUGGAGGGAGGCGCCUCCGCCAGCGGAGGCCCGUUUUCUCCCUCGAGUCAGUUCCCUUCUGUGCAGGGGCCAAAGAGGAACCCAGGAUGCCAGGGCAAGGAGCAGGGGCACCCUGCCAGCUGCUUCCCGGGGGUGCCCGGGGCGGGGGGGUCGAAGUCACCACCCUCGGCGGGGCAGUGCCCCUCUCUGGGAAGACGAGCUCCAUGUCACAAGAGGGGACAUUUCUUACCCAAAGGUCAAAUUAGAGGCUCAGUAAGACCCGAGAGCGGGUCUCAGAGGAAAGAGCCGUCUGUGGAGGGGCGGGCGGGGAAGAAGAGCGAAAGCCCGGCAUUAAUUAGUCACUCGUACUCGGAGGCUCAUCCUUUUCACAACCUUCGCACCUGCCUUCCUCAUCUCUCUCUGAGUUGUUACCCAGGAUUCCCAUUCCACAGACGAGGAGCCCGAGGCUCAGAAUCAUGCAGUGGCCUAGGGUUACUGUCUGCACAAGCGACGCCUGCCUUACUCCUGCGUUUGCUCCCCAGGGCUGGCCUCUCAGGAGCCGGGGGUCUGACAUGCCGUGAAUGCAAGUUCGGCGUCCCCCCCCCCCCACUGCUGCCCCCUCUUCUUAUGGAAGCUCCGAGAGGCAGAAAAGCUUGUAGAAACUCCCAGAGCGAGUUCGUAGCCGAAUCAGAAAGUGAGUUUGCGGUGUCUAGUUUACUGGUUUCCCAACUGUCUUAGAUGCUUUCUAGCCUGGCAGAGAAAUCAUGCCAGUCUGGCCUGGCGCAGAGUGGGAACACCUAGCCAGGCAACCCGGGCAAGCCGGCUGUGGGGCUAACGCUGGGGAACGUCGCCUCUGUCUCAGCGUGGCUGGGUGGUGACGGGGCUCGGGGUCCCAGGGCUCUGCUUUUCCCUGUCCCCGUGCGCUCCGUCCUCCACAUGCCAGAGCCUGUGACUCCUCACUGCCUCUUGGGUACCGAGGGACGGUGUCAGGUCUUAGUAGGUGUUCUCAGAUGCUUCGUUUUCCAGAUGAACCCAACCCAGAGCGAGACGCAGGGUAGGACAGAAGCGCAGGAAAACCCAUCCGCCUAGAUGGCAUCACCUCGCGGGGCCUUGAGAGGGAGGAACAGAGACCGGCCUCGGGGGGGAGAAUUACCUGCUGUGUGUGUUGCGGGGCUGGGCUCUCUGACAGUGUCCCCUCCUUUGCGGCCCCUUCCCACUUCCUCCACCCUGGAUAACGUCCCCUCUUCCUUCCAGGCUUAGAACCGAGGGGAGGAGGCGCGCGCCUCCCCCACGUCCUGACACGGGCUUUGGUUGCCCUGCUUCUCCCCUGACCUGCCUUUAUCGCACCUGCUUUAAGUUCUUUGUGACUUUCUUUCACUCCGCUUGGUAAUUGCGGCUCCUUGAGGGUGAAGAUGCGCUGACGGCAGUUUGCUCCCCCGCUGCCAUGGCUCAGGGGCUGAUAGUCUGGGAGGUGGGGAGGCAGGGUGGUUCGGCUGGUAGGUCAUUAAUGCCUUCCUUGGUCUCGGGCUGGCACGUUACCGCAGGGGUGAGGAAGGCGCGUCCCAGCUCAGGCCCUUCCUCCAUCUGUGGACCCAUCACCUCUCUGUAUAGGAGCAGUCUUGUCACUCGGGUUCCUGACACCUCACUGCUUUGCAGGUUUCGCGAAAGGGGCACCUGCCUUGCUUGUGCAUCUUCUCCCCCACGACCAGGCAUGUCUGUGUUCCCUCCUUCAUGCGGAGACUUCCUGCUGUUUUUGCAUCUAUGGCUGCCUAACAAACUCCCCUGAGACUCAGUAGCUCCGGACAGUAACUUAUUAUUUCUCACGGUUCUGGCCGGGCAGCUCUCUGCUGGGCUUGGCGGGGUUCGCUCCUGGAGCUGCAUUCAGCUCAUGGCAGGGCUGGGCUGGGAGCUCAAGGGAGCCUCCUCAGUCCCACACGCCUAGAGUCUCAGGGCAGGCGGUGCUCCUCCGUGUGGCUCUCGAUUUCCAGGAGGCCAGACCUGGCUUCUUCCCAGAGGGAUGGUCUCAGGGUUCCCAGGGUGUGAAGCCCAAGCUGCUGGGCUUCCGAAGGCCUAGGCCAGAACUGACGCAGCAUCGCUUCUGCCUCGGUCUUUGAGUUAAAGCAAAAUUCGAGACCAUCCGGAUUCGAGGGGAGGGGAAAUGGACCCACCCCGUGUUGAAAGGAGGGGGGAGUCCCGUUGCAAAGGUUCCGGGCCUGCUUAGCACUCCCUCCUGCUUCGUGUGCUUCGAAGAUAAAUUCCUCCUCUUGGAAACCUUUGUGAAAUGACUUCUCAGGCGGCCUUCUGAACAUGGCCUGGGCAAGUUCAGGGGUUGAUGCUCUGGCCCCACCUGCCCCCGAAGCUCUAGAGGAGGCUGCUUGUGGAGUGGAGCUGGGGCUGCUGCUUCUGAGGGACGUGGGCAUCUACCUUCUUGACUGACACGAGCAGCAUCUCAGGGCACGUGGCUCCUGCGCUGCAGGAAGGGCUUCCUCAGGGUCUGAGUCACCGUGGCGGGUAGCUCCUCAGGCAUCACUCAAAUCACGCUGAAUUUUCCCUGGAGUCCCUUGAGCGUUAAUCCCCGAUGAAAAUAGAACAGGUUUUUUUUUUGUUUUUUUUUUUUGUUUUUUUUUUUGCCAUUUUCAACAUGUGUUGCUUUGACUAUAGAUGUUUUAAAAUUCUUCUACCUGGGUGUGGAGAGGUUAAGAUUUGGGGAGGGUUGCCUUUUUUCUAUUUUUAUGGCCACAUCUGUGGCAUAUGGAAGUUCCUGGGCUAGGAAUUGCAUCAGAGCUGCAGCUGCUGGCUCUUCCCAUGCCAUAACCAUAGCAACGCGGGAUCCAAGCCGCAUCUGCCACCUGUGCCACAGCGUAGAGACAUGCAGGAUCCUUCACCUGCUGACCAAGCCCAGGGAUCAAACCUGCGUCCUCAUGGAUACUAAUUGGGUUCUUAAUGCACCAAGCCACAAGGGGAACUCCCGAUUGUAAGCAACAGAACCUAAUUCUCACUACCUUUUUUAAAAAGAAGAAAAGUAUUAAAGGGGAAUGGGUGUCUCAUAGAACUGGUGAGAGGCUGAGGAGUUGGGUCUGAAGAGAGCAAGAAGCAAAACAAAGGAUCGGCAGGUUGUAAACACAUUUGUAGUCGAGGGUGGCGGGUUGCUAACAGGGAGCGGGCCGAGAGAGCUGCGGGAACAUCAAGGCCAGUAUGUCUGUGUUUAGCCUGGGGGAGCUGGGGACAUUUCGCAGAAUUGGCAGGGUCAACCUCAGAGGAUGGGUAGGGAAAAGCAUUUCAGGCUGGUGGAAUAGCAUAUGCAAAGGCACUGAAACUUGAAAUGAGAUGAUCUUGUUUAGGGACUCACAGGAAAAGUAUAAGAGGGAGGCAGAGAACGAGCCUGGAAUGGGAGGUGUACCCCCAGACGAUGGAAGGCCUUGAGUGACUGUUGAGGAGUUGGCAUUGAAUCCUAUAGGCUGAACUGAGUUUCUGGAACUGUAGUGGCCAGAGAGAUGCUAGUAGAUGCCCCUCGAAUAAAGGAUUCCUCCAGCAUAAGUUUGGGAUGUGUCCAUUAUUAUGUAUUUCUCUCUUGGAUGAUCAUCAAGAUACUAAAGGCUCUGAGAAGUCCUGCAGUAAAGAAAACAUGGGAGGAGACCAGCUGGAAGGUGGAAGUGGUGCCUCAGGUGAGAGAGAUGCCGGGUGCGCUCCGUCCUUGAGCUGGAAAGGAGGACGUCCCCCCUCCCUCCCUCCCUCAGCCCUACAGGGUACUGCACAAGCAAAGCACGGUAACUCUCUAGAAAGUGGUGUGGACAGAAGAGGGGGCUUGGGUGUAAACCCACUAGGAAGGGAUAUAACUCAUGUGGAAAGUGAGCUCUCUGACAAAUGCUAUUUGUUUGCUUUGGAUAAGCUCAGUAUUUUGAGAUUUGUUUCUCUGACACACCCUCAGUUCCCUUUGGCUUUUGCUGAAAAUGAUACAUUUUUCCAGACUUGUGACUUUGGCUGCCAUGGUCGACCAUCUCUGCAUGCUUGGUUCUAGAAGUGCAAAAUAUUUCCUCUCCUUCUGAGUGGUUCUCUUUAAUUGCAUUCUUUUUUCUGUGUGUCUUUCUAGGGCCGCUCCUGUGGCAAAUGGAGGCUCCUAGGCUAGGGGGUCGAAUUGGAGCUGCAGCCACCGGCCGACAUCACAGCCACAGCAAUGGCAGAUCCGAGCCGUGUCUGUGACCUACACUACUGCUCCCGGCAAUGCCGAAUCCUUAACCCACUGAGGGAGGCCAGGGAUGGAACCUGUGACCUCAUAGAUGCUAAUCACAUUCGUUUCCUCUGAGCCACGAUGGGAACUCCUCUUUUAUUUUAAAUGGAAAGAGAUAUGGAAGUAAAAAGUCCUCUUUCUUCCUGCUCCUUGGAAGAAAGGAAGGGAAAAGUUCCCCAGAGGAAUGAAUCUUGGGUAGAAAGACAGAACUGAAGCCAGAGCUACUGAGAUGGUCACAGGGAGCUGGUGCUUUGCUUUGCUUACUCUGAGGACCAAACCCUGUCACCUGUGGGCUUCCAGUGCAGAUCGCGACAUUGCAGGAGAGGGACAGUGCAAAUGAGCAGAGGAGCUGGAGCUGAACGAGGACCUUGUGCUGGGCUGGGAGACGCUCGCCCAGUCCUGGGCUUUGGUUGUGGGUCCUCCAUGUGUACUCAGGAGUAUUCUGAGAGACCUCCGCUGCAGGAGGACAUGGGUAGGAGGAGUCCAGGUGACAAAGAAAGGGGCUCGUUUGAUGAUGACUGUCUUGCUGUGGCCACAUCCCUGUUCAAACCUGGUGGAAAAAACAGAGAGGAAGAUUUUGUCAUCAGUUUCACAACAUGGCUUCUGGAAGGAUCAGCAAAGGACAAGAAAGACAAUGGCAGCCAACACAUACUAAGUGGCAGCUCUGGUGUGCCAGGAAAUUGUGGCUGGUGUGCCACACAUGCUCGUUGUCCUCCAUGCAACCCUCCGAAGUGUUUAUUAAUAUUCACUGUAAGGAAGAGUGUGGGAGAUGCUGCUUUUUAAAUAGUUUUCUUUUAUUAACUAUAAAAUGACAGGAGUUCCCAUCACGGCUCAGUGGUUAACGAAUCCAACUAGGAACCAUGAGGUUGCGGGUUCAAUCCCUGGCCUCGCUCAGUGGGUUAAAGAUCCAGUGUUGCUGUAGCUGUGGCAUAGGCCAGCGGCUACAGCUCCUAUUAGACCCCUAGCCUGGGAACCUCCAUGUGCCAAGGGUGCGGCCCUAGAAAGGGCAAAAAGACAAAA